rnacentral:rRNA from 1 species
UACGUAGGGUGCAAGCGUUAAUCGGAAUUACUGGGCGUAAAGCGUGCGCAGGCGGUUUUGUAAGACUGUCGUGAAAUCCCCGGGCUCAACCUGGGAAUGGCGAUGGUGACUGCAAGGCUAGAGUUUGGCAGAGGGGGGUAGAAUUCCACGUGUAGCAGUGAAAUGCGUAGAUAUGUGGAGGAACACCGAUGGCGUAGGCAGCCCCCUGGGUCAAAACUGACGCUCAUGCACGAAAGCGUGGGGAGCAAACAGG